GCCAUCUUAACUGCUUGGGUGCGUCAUGCUGUGAGCGACCCAGUGGCAAAAAGAGAAGAGCAAACAGAAUGAGGAAGGUUCAGAUCUAACUAUGCUACAUCCAGGUGUGAUAUUGAAUUAAGUUAAACUGCCAGAGACCUGAGGGCACGUGACCUAGGAAUGUGCAUCCCAAGAUAAUACUACCUUCAGAGAACUCUACUUAUAGCAUUUCUACAUUGGUGUAGACAGAGACGUGGAGGUCUACAGCACCAGCCUAGAGGAAGGGCAGCGCAGGGGCUGGCCACCAGAAAUUUGAAGAGAAAAAAGCAUUCUCGUGAAGAUGGGUUGUCUCAUAUCUUCCACAAAAUUACUAGAACUCUCUCUGAGCAAUUCCAUAGGUGAGCCUUUCAUCAGUGACAAAGGAAAUUCAGGACACCAAGAAGAUGAUAUUUUCUUAUAGAAUCUAGCAAGACGAUGUGUAAGGAUUUCAGAUGUGUAGUUCCCAUUAAAGUUAACAAGAGUUGUGCUGUUAAAACCUCCUCAUGACACUUUGCAUUAUAUCCUGAGAAGUCUGAAGAAGGUGCCAAAGGAUCAUCAAAAUACCAGCCUCACUUUGAUAAACUUGUCACCAGGUAAAAUAAAAUACGUGUAUG